AUUAGACCAGCUAGGGUCAGGACUGUCUGAGGCAGGUCAUUAAGACCAGCUAGGGUCAGGACUGUCUGAGGCAGGUCAUUAGACCAGCUAGGGUCAGGACUGUCUGAGGCAGGUCAUUAGACCAGCUAGGAUCAGGACUGUCUGAGGCAGGUCAUUAGACCAGCUAGGGUCAGGACUGUCUGAGGCAGGUCAUUAGACCAGCUAGGGUCAGGACUGUCUGAGGCAGGUCAUUAGACCAGCUAGGGUCAGGACUGUCUGAGGCAGGUCAUUAGACCAGCUAGGGUCAGGACUGUCUGAGGCAGGUCAUUAGACCAGCUAGGGUCAGGACUGUCUGAGGCAGGUCAUUAGACCAGCUAGGGUCAGGACUGUCUGAGGCAAGUCAUUAGACCAGCUAGGGUCAGGACUGUCUGAGGCAAGUCAUUAGACCAGCUAGGGUCAGGACUGUCUGAGGCAGGUCAUUAGACCAGCUAGGGUCAGGACUGUCUGAGGCAAGUCAUUAGACCAGCUAGGGUCAGGACUGUCUGAGGCAGGUCAUUAGACCAGCUAGGGUCAGGACUGUCUGAGGCAGGUCAUUAGACCAGCUAGGGUCAGGACUGUCUGAGGCAAGUCAUUAGACCAGCUAGGGUCAGGACUGUCUGAGGCAGGUCAUUAGACCAGCUAGGGUCAGGACUGUCUGAGGCAGGUCAUUAGACCAGCUAGGGUCAGGACUGUCUGAGGCAAGUCAUUAGACCAGCUAGGAUCAGGACUGUCUGAGACAGGUCAUUAGACCAGCUAGGGUCAGGACUGUCUGAGGCAGGUCAUUAGACCAGCUAGGAUCAGGACUGUCUGAGACAGGUCCUGAGACCCAGCUAGGGUCAGGACUGUCUGAGGCAGGUCAUUAGACCAGCUAGGGUCAGGACUGUCUGAGGCAAGUCAUUAGACCAGCUAGGGUCAGGACUGUCUGAGGCAAGUCAUUAGACCAGCUAGGGUCAGGACUGUCUGAGGCAAGUCAUUAGACCAGCUAGGGUCAGGACUGUCUGAGGCAGGUCAUUAGACCAGCUAGGGUCAGGACUGUCUGAGGCAAGUCAAUAACCAGCUAGGGUCAGGACUGUCUGAGGCAAG